rnacentral:rRNA from 1 species
ACUCAAAUGAAUUGACGGGACCCCGCACAAGCGGUGGAGCAUGUGGAUUAAUUCGAUACUAACCGAAGAACCUUACCCAGACUUGACAUCGACGGAAAGCAUCAGAAAUGGUGCCCUCCACCCACAAGGUGGACCUGAAGACAGAUGUUGCAUGGCUGUCGUCAGCUCGUGCCGUGAGGUGUUUGGUUAAGUCCAGCAACGAGCGCAACCCUCAUCACGUGUUGCCAGCGGGUAAUGCCGGGAACUCACGUGGAACCGCUCCGGUAACGGAGAGGAAGGUGAGGAUGACGUCAAGUCAGCAUGGCUCUUACGUCUGGGGCUUCACACAUGCUACAAUGGGCGCAACAAAGGGUUUGCAAUUCCGCGAGGCGGAGCUAAUCCCAAAAAUACGCCCUCAGUUCAGAUUGCAGUCUGCAACUCGACUGCAUGAAGUCGGAAUCGCUAGUAACCGCAGGUCAGCUAUACUGCGGUGAAUACGUUCCCGGGGUUUGCACACACCGCCCGU